AUUGAACGCUGGCGGCAUGCCUUACACAUGCAAGUCGAACGGCAGCACGGGUGCUUGCACCUGGUGGCGAGUGGCGAACGGGUGAGUAAUACAUCGGAACGUACCUUAUCGUGGGGGAUAACGCAGCGAAAGCUGUGCUAAUACCGCAUACGCCCUGAGGGGGAAAGCGGGGGAUCGCAAGACCUCGCGCGAUUAGAGCGGCCGAUGCCUGAUUAGCUAGUUGGUGGGGUAAAAGCCCACCAAGGCGACGAUCAGUAGCUGGUCUGAGAGGACGAUCAGCCACGCUGGGACUGAGACACGGCCCAGACUCCUACGGGAGGCAGCAGUGGGGAAUUUUGAACAAUGGGGGCAACCCUGAGCCAGCAAUGCCGCGUGAGUGAAGAAGGCCUUCGGGUUGUAACGCUCUUUUGUCAGGGAAGAAACACCGGCUCUAACACAGUCCGGGAAUGACGGUACCUGAAGAAUAAGCACCGGCUAACUACGUGCCAGCCGCCGCGGUAA
rnacentral:rRNA from 1 species